rnacentral:rRNA from 1 species
AUUGAACGCUGGCGGCAUGCUUUACACAUGCAAGUCGAACGGUAACAGAGAAAAGCUUGCUUUUCUGCUGACGAGUGGCGAACGGGUGAGUAAUACAUCGGAACGUACCCUGUAGUGGGGGAUAACUACUCGAAAGAGUAGCUAAUACCGCAUACAACCUGAGGGUAAAAGUGGGGGACCGCAAGGCCUCACGCUAUAGGAGCGGCCGAUGGAAGAGUAGGUAGUUGGUAGGGUAAAGGCCUACCAAGCCGACGAUCUUUAGCGGGUCUGAGAGGACGAUCCGCCACACUGGGACUGAGACACGGCCCAGACUCCUACGGGAGGCAGCAGUGGGGAAUUUUGGACAAUGGGCGAAAGCCUGAUCCAGCAAUGCCGCGUGAGUGAAGAAGGCCUUCGGGUUGUAAAGCUCUUUUGUUUGGGAAGAAAUCCCUAAGGAUAAUACCCUUGGGGGAUGACGGUACCAAAAGAAUAAGCACCGGCUAACUACGUGCCAGCAGCCGCGGUAA